rnacentral:rRNA from 1 species
CGAACGCUGGCGGCGUGCCUAAUACAUGCAAAUUGAGCGCUGAAGGUUGGUACUUGUACCAACUGGAUGAGCAGCGAACGGGUGAGUAACGCGUGGGGAAUCUGCCUUUGAGCGGGGGACAACAUUUGGAAACGAAUGCUAAUACCGCAUAAAAACUUUAAACACAAGUUUUAAGUUUGAAAGAUGCAAUUGCAUCACUCAAAGAUGAUCCCGCGUUGUAUUAGCUAGUUGGUGAGGUAAAGGCUCACCAAGGCGAUGAUACAUAGCCGACCUGAGAGGGUGAUCGGCCACAUUGGGACUGAGACACGGCCCAAACUCCUACGGGAGGCAGCAGUAGGGAAUCUUCGGCAAUGGACGAAAGUCUGACCGAGCAACGCCGCGUGAGUGAAGAAGGGUUUCGGAUCGUAAAACUCUGUUGGUAGAGAAGAACGUUGGUGAGAGUGGAAAGCUCAUCAAGUGACGGUAACUACCCAGAAAGGGACGGCUAACUACGUG